UCAAAAUUGGUAAUAUCUACACAUGUGAAAAUUCAAUGUCGGUAUAAAGUCACAGCGUUAAAAAUUGUGACUUUUGUCUACAUAUACCUCCAACUUGAGCAAACAAGUCCAAGCAAUCUUGGGUAAAGAGUGAUUCAGGCACUCUUAGCAAACCCUCUUCAUCCAAACGGUGGUUCCUCAACUCUUCAACCAACUGCAUUUCGGGGUAUGCCAAAGACGUUCCUUUCUCUACUCGACUGGGUGAAAUUUCGGACUCGCAGCCGACUGCGUUUCCUCAUGGGCAGCCCGUAUUUGUCAAACAAAGCGGUCAGUUCCAGUAGAGCCAGUUGACGUAAUUUUCUCUUUUGCGCAUGGGCCGAAGCCGACGAGAGGGUUCCGACCAGUUUGAACUUGACAAUUUCGAUUCCUUGUCUAUCGACAGCGGCUACGUGACCUUCGGCCGCUGGACUGAAAAAUCCCGGGCGGGACGGUUUGAACGACUGCUGUUUAAUCCCGUCGAUUUGAUUGAAACUACUCCGCCUCCUAGCCUCUGAUCUGUGGGUGUUGGGUAUCGGAAGAAACGAAUCCAGAAUUUUGACAGAGGACUACUUUGUUGUUGUUGCUGGAAAUAGUCGCCGCAUCAUCUUCAUCCAGACAGCUGCUUUGAAAGAGACUGGAUAAAAGCUCGCCAUCUUCCUGGCUGCCGGAGCGUGACCAAGUUUUAGGUGAGAUGGCCGGACUGAUGGUAAGUCGUCCUCCUCCUCCUACACUUGCCACUAAAUUCUCCGUCGAGUGUUUCAUCGAGUCCGAGUCCAAAGAGUCAGGGGUGGCUGAUCGCGAACGGCCACUCGAUCCGCCGCUGUGACUGGCCUGAUCGUGUUUUUUUAUUUUUUUUAAGUUUCCGUUAGCCGAGCUCAAUUUUUUUCUAUUCUUAUCUCUCCAUCAAAACUCACCUCCGGAUCACGGAAAAUGUCCCGGCAAUCGGGUCUCUGUUGGCCGGCUCCCGCUCGAGUUUUACGUCCUUUUAAAGUGACUCGGAGGGUCUCCACUCUUUUGCGGAUGGUUUGGUAUUGAUUGGUUGUCAAAUUGUCCUCGAUGACGGCGUUGGCCAGGCUGGCUUCCGUCACUAAUUGAUUGUUUUCCAUCAGGUUGUCGACAAUGUUGCCCAAUCCGACGUCGAUGAGCCACGUAGCGGCUUCUUCCGCUUCUGUGUCGUGCCAAGAAAAAUUGUUAACGGGACGACACUUUUGCUGUGUUUUUCAUUUUGACAUUGUGCGUCGAGUCGUUUACCUUCCAUCGUCGAGGCGGAGCAGAGCAGCUCGUCUUCGGAUGAUGUGGUUUCAACCAUUGACCUGACGUGGUUUUCCGGCCAGACGUCGUGAAGAUGGGCUUCCCCUUCGACGACCGCUGCCAUGAUGAUGAUGGUUGCUGGAGUCUAUAGUUUGGAGAGCUCAAACUUUCCCUGCCGCAAAAAAAGAAAAAGAAAGCGACAGCCGAAAAAGAAGAAGAAGAAAAAAAAACCUUGGGUGCAGAGUUCGGUGAAACGACGUUGGUACUGAUUCAAUUCAGAGUUGCCCGGCACGGCGUCCAACUGGCGUCGCAAUUUCAUCAAAUUCACGUU